GGGUGUUAUCCCUCGCGCUGUUACCUGGACCGAAGAAAGUAUGCUAGCAGCGUUUGAAGAGAUGAAAAAGGGAGACAAGGGUGUAAAUCAGAUUUCUAAAAUUUAUGGCAUACCAUCUAGAACAUUAAGACGAAGAUUUCUUAAAAAUGACCAACAAAAAUUGACAUUAGGUAAACACCCUGUGCUAGGGUUUGAUAACGAAAAUCUCCCCCUAUCUUAAGAAUAAUUUAGUCUGAUACCAAA